rnacentral:rRNA from 1 species
UACGUAGGGAGCAAGCGUUGUUCGGAUUUACUGGGCGUAAAGGGCGCGUAGGCGGCAAUUCAAGUCACUUGUGAAAUCUCCGGGCUUAACUCGGAACGGUCAAGUGAUACUGCUUUGCUAGAGUGCGGAAGGGGCAAUCGGAAUUCUCGGUGUAGCGGUGAAAUGCGUAGAUAUCUGGAGGAACACCGGUGGCGAAGGCGGCAUCCUGGACCGGCAUUGACGCUGAGGAGCGAAAGCCAGGGGGAGCAAACGGG